rnacentral:rRNA from 1 species
UAGGGAAUCUUCGGCAAUGGACGAAAGUCUGACCGAGCAACGCCGCGUGAGUGAAGAAGGUUUUCGGAUCGUAAAACUCUGUUGUUAGAGAAGAACAAGGGUGAGAGUAACUGUUCACCCCUCGACGGUAUCUAACCAGAAAGCCACGGCUAACUACGUGCCAA